UGUUGAAGACAAGAGUGAUAAAAACUGAUGCGGAAGUACCACCAAGAAGUUUCAAGAUAAAAUAUGUGAAGCAUAAUGCUACUGUUGAAUGAACCGUAUCAAAUCCUAUGAUAAGGAUAGAGGAACAAUGAACGCAGCAACACAGGAUGAUGUAGCGCAUUAUUUUGUAAAUAAUUGCACACUGAGCAUUGUUGCCGAACGCCUUUCUAGCAGUUCAACUUCUUCGAGUACCUGUAAUUUCAUCGAAUCUCACUAGAACAUUUUAGAGGUACUUUUCUGCAAUACAAACCUUACAAACAUGCAACAAAAAAUCAUUUUUUAUGACCCAUCACACUAGAAUAAGUCCAAGCGUGAAUUGGCAUAAAUGUGAGAACAGAACAUGAAAGUGACACGAUACGAUACAACGCAAUCAUUAGUCCUCGACAUUACCGCAAUUUGGGCUCUUGCACAAGAACAGUAACGUGCAUAGCUUCUCGUAGACGCCCACGCAUGAUUAGAAGCCUAAGGAAUACCCAUUUUUACUUGAUUGUAGUUCAUUACUGAGCGAGCCAUUUUCGAUGAGCAUGCGCGAAGUUGCAGUAUAUCUUAUCAAUUGCAUGCGAAUGCGAUCAGGGCUGGGGGUAGUUCACUUAAGGCCCCCAAUCAUGUCGAAUAUUGUUAAAGCCUGCAGGAUUCAAAGCUGACAAUGUAACAAAAUAAAAAUCUUGAGAAUUGAUGACAUUAAUGUGAUAGCACUGUAAAUAACAAUAAUAAUAAUAAUUGAACGCUACUAUGGGAGAUGUAAAUUCAGCCAUUCUUCUAACAAUUUUCACUGCAAUUACACGUGAUAAAUUGGUUAUACUAAAAAGAAAUUACUAUAGAACUCUAGAAACUGUUAAUUUUGUACUUUUACGUUGAUAUUGAACAGUCCUGGUAAGUUGAUAAAAGUGUAUAGCCUGUUAUGGGGGUCAAAACUUGACAUCUUCUUGAAAUUCCUAAUAAUUUUACCUGUGAACUUAUGCUUUGUAAAUAAAGUGUUACGUAAAAUUGUUCAGUUAAAAUUAAUAUAACAUAUAUUAAAUUGGCUAAAAAGGACGCUCAACCUUUAUGGUGAUGGUUGUCCUUGUCCCUCUGCAGUUUAGAUGGUUAUUAAUUUGAUCAGGAUUUCUACAAACGCGAAAUCAUGAAUUUACCCAAAAAAUGGAUAAAAAUCAUAUAAUAAAAUGGACAAUAACAGUAAAUAUAUUUUCUUGUCUAAGAAACAUCACUGUUUAUUUGUGUGUUAAAAUCCAAACGAACUUUUUGGGCAA